GUCGGGGCCCGAGGAAGCAAUCCCCGGGGGCUUCUGCGUCCGUAGGUGAACCUGCGGAAGGAUCAUUA
rnacentral:rRNA from 1 species